UUUCAUUUGUACAUGUAUUUGUUUGUCAUUAAAUGUAAAUUUAUUGUAGAAUUUUAAUUAUCUGCCAUUUAUUGGGUGAAAUUAACAUUAAUGCGGCUAGUGGAAACAGUCUCUAAAGGAAGCAAUGGAAGCAUCUUGAUUGUGGCAGAGAGACAAUCAAAUCGACAUUGAGGCGCACAAUUGAUGCGGCAAACUUUAUGCGGAAAUUCCGAGAAUUGCCAUUGAAUUGCAGAUGCUUUCUCACUCGCACAGCUUAAACUUUGACUGUUUUAAAUGCAGUGCACAAAGUGGUAAAGAGUCUUCGAGUCUUAAGCCAUCUUUCGUCUUCCAUCUACGCCAACACCAACAACAACAACAACUGCCAAAAUCCGAAAGUCAGGCGCAAAAGUAUUCAAAAAGAAGUGCAGCUGAAAAAGUUCACAUUUCAAGAUGCCAUUUUCUUGACUUUCCUCCCCCCCCCCACACACACACACUCACACUCACAUGCACAGCUCAGCAAAUGUACUCAGCACCACAGCCACAGCCCAUCACCAACAGCAACAGCAACUGAAAAGGCAACUGCUACAACUACAGCAACAACAACUGCACCACAUUAGGGGUGUGUUUGCGGGUGUGGUUGUGAAUAUUAAUACCCUGUAAGAUUUUUAGAUUUUGUCAGCCGAGAGCU